AAAAGAAAUCAAUAUCAAAUUGUAGAAUGGAAUUAUCAAGGAAAUUUAGAGUUGGCUUAGCUCGAAUUGGAUUUAGAAUAUGAUUACAUGAUAAGUCAAUGAUGCAAAUAUGGCAAUUAUCUCGAGGAUUAACCUUGAUCUAGUAUGCAUCGGAAGCAAGGAUAAAAAAAAAAUAAUUUUGCUUGGAUAUUAAAAAAAAAAGAAUGAUGAUGAUAUGGGCUCAAUUGGAAAUGUAAGUGGAAUCAGCAAUAGAGUUUGAUAUGGGAACAUGUUCAAUAGCACAUGAUGUUUCACAAGUUGUAUUUAGUGAUCCCUGUUUCUAAGAUUUGAAAUAAAUUGUUUCAUCUCUAAUUGAUGGGCAAUUAUUAAAUACCUUUGUUUACCACUGAGAAGCAAGUUUAAAUUGUUUCAUGAGGAAGGUGAAAGUUAUGAAUAAUAAUUCCACAUAUCAUUGUCUAGUGGAAGGAGCACAAGAGAAGAAGAUUUUUUUUUUUAAAUAGAGAUCUUACGAUAAAAGUAUGCAUCCCUUUCUUUUAAUGGAUAUGUGAAAUUCAGAAUCACCUAGCAAUGCUAAAAUAGGGCAGAUUAUUGUUCAUGCAAUUUAAGGAUACCUAAUAUAACAUAUUAGGAUAUUGAGAAACAAUUUCAAGAAGUUUACACCUUCCGAGCUUAAAAUUUUCCAAGAUGACUUGAAAGUUCAUCUCUUACUAGGAAAGAAGGCUCAUUUUCUACGGAUGAAGUUGCUGAAGAUGGAAAAUUUGUUUAAAGCAUUUGUCACUUAUUUAAGGAAAAAAAAAAUUCUAGCUAAGUAAAUUCGAUCAAGAUGGAGGAAAGAUUUGAAGUGUAAAUACACAUGUGGUGGAAAUAUUUAUGAUGAUUUUGUUAACAAACCACAUAAAUUAUAGUUUGACCAGCUAAGCAAUUUUUCUAUGGAGUUACAGAGAGUGAAGAAGAGAAUUGUGGUAUUUUCAUUACUGGCUUAUAUGAAUUAAAGGAGAAAAGUCACAACUUCAGAACUGCCUGUGUAGCCCUCAACUCAAUCAAUAUCCAUCAACUGCUUCUCCAAACUGUAUGAAUGAACUUAGUAAGUAUCAAAAAAAAAAGGUGGUAGGAUGCUCAAUCCCUUAGCAGCUAAAAAAUAAAAUAAAAUAAGGUUUCUACUAUUAACAAGGAAGGAAUCAAAGAAGAGAAACAAGUUCAUCAAAAUGAUAUGCAAAAGGCAGAGAAAUGAGGUAUUUAAUAGUUCUAUUUGUAGACAAGUAGUAUUUUGAUCAAAAGUUAUUAGUGAAUCUAAAGAAUUUUGAUGUUUUGAAUCAGAGUGCGCAGCGAAAACAUAGUGAUUUGAAUUAUUUAUCUAAGUUGGUCAGAAGUAUUAUUUCUUUGAUUCAGAAAGUUUUAAUAAUAAAAGAUUUGAUUUGUUUUCUUGUGUAGUAGAACUUUUCUUGAUAAAUGAAAGAAAAAUGUUCUGAUUUUUGGAUGUCGUUGUGCUAUCUUAGAUUCUCCAAUUUUAUGUUGUGUUAAGAAAUUCUUAGCAUUUUUUGACUAGAAUUAAUGGAUCAUCAAUUUUGAUCUUGGAUUUGGAAUAUAUUGGUAUAGACCUCCUCCCUCCUAAAUCUAAAGCUUGAAUUUCUUCAAUUAAGAUCAACCCUCUAUCUGAUUGAAAGAAAUUGCAGUUGUCAAUCAACUUUGAUGAAUAUCUAUCAAAGGUGGAUUAGAGUUGUUUAUGAUCUAAUCUUGUGAUAGAUCGGUUAAUUGAGAGAAGUUGAUAUUUUGACAAAGAAACUUAAUGUUCUUAUUCAGAAUUAAAAUGUUGUUUUUUUUGUUUAUAAGAGAAAAGUUUGAUUUAAAUCGCUUACCAAAGGAAUCAAAUGUGGAAGUAUCGGACCUUAUUCUUUCGAUAAAAUCUAAUGAUGAAGUUGUAUUGAUAAGUAGAAUUAUUGGAAGACUUGAGUUAGUUUUCUAGUGGAGAAGAAUGUUGUUGAUUCUAUGGAUAAUUUGGAGGUAGCUAUGUAAUUUUCACCAAUAGGUUCUGUUAUAGUUGACUAUUCUUGGGAGAAUCUUGGGAAUCUUAAAUUUAGUGUUAACGGACUGACAGUUCCUUGGUUGGGCUUAGAUCUGGAAUGCUUUAAUAUUCAUUCCCUACUCCUAGUUAUGACAUUGUCAAUCUAUCUAAAUGAAAGGGUUUGAGGUUUUUCUAGGAUAAAGGUUGAUCAUUAAUUCAUGGGUAAAGUUAAGAGAAGAAAAAGGAUUAUAGAUUAUGAAAAGUAUUCGAUGCUAAUGCUUUAACCUAUUUGCAUUAAGCGAUUAUGAUUUCUGUCCGGAAUUAAUCAUGAACAAUUAAUUUCUUGGGCAAACAAUUAUGGUAUUUGAAAUCCAAGGUUGAAAGAUUAGCCUUGUUUUGGAAGAGAUCAAAACAACUCCUAUGUGUUACAGGUAGAAAGGGUCAAGUUUUGAGAUGCCGUGAUUUUGCCAAAAAUUUUGUGAGUAAGCACUCUCUGAGUGAGACUACUUUGGAGCUCGAGAAUGAUAUGAUGGUUACAUACCUUCAAAGUUUGAAGCUCCAAGUAAGUUAAUUUCGAGGACAAAAUUUUUUUUAAGGGGGAAAGAAUGUGAGAGCCCAGUUCAUUAACCGGCCGCAUACAGCUAGACCAGUGGGCCAGGCCUAUUGGCCGUUGCGGCCUCUAACUCUUCGGGGGCUAUAAAAGCUUCGCACGUCCUUCCUCAGCGAUAGGGUUUUCUGUACCCACGUUGAUGCCGCCGGAGAGGGGCGUCGCAGUUCAUCCCCGAAGCCAGGUACAGUGGAGUUGCCCAACUGUACUUAGGGAUUCGUGAGCGAAUCAAUAUGAAUAAGACUACUAGGAGCAGGGAGCUUGGUGUUAUUCAGGGUUGGGGUAACUGAAAAUGUUAUGUAAUAUAUAAUUUUAGAAGCUCUGUACUGUUCCAACUUCAUGAAUAAUGUUAUGACACUAGUAAAUGAAACUAUUUAUUUUUAUUAUGAAAUUUUAAA